UACGGGGGGGGCAAGCGUUGUUCGGAAUUACUGGGCGUAAAGGGCGCGUAGGCGGCCUGUUAAGUCGAACGUGAAAUCCCCGGGCUCAACCCGGGAACUGCGUCCGAUACUGGCAGGCUUGAAUCCGGGAGAGGGAUGCGGAAUUCCAGGUGUAGCGGUGAAAUGCGUAGAUAUCUGGAGGAACACCGGUGGCGAAGGCGG
rnacentral:rRNA from 1 species